GGAAACGAACAAGGGAACCUGGAAGCGGCCAAGGGAUUUGCAGAACCUUCUGAGCCCACUGCAAAAGACCAUGCCAUUUCCAUUCUGAAGACAAAAACAUGAAGGCCUUGUUCCCAAGACCCCCUACAGAAUCCAAGAAAAAAACAAAAAGGGAACAUCAAAAUGAAAGACAGAAUUCUUCAUGGAUGGAUGUCACGAACGUGUUUUCAGGGAAGAACCCCAAAUGGCAGUCAGAUGGAGGUGGGGCGAGUGCUGAGCUCACCCAGAGAGGAUGCCCAUUCUGAGAGCUGUUUCAGGAGAAAGAAGCGCAAAAGGCUGGGGCCGCUGCCUGUCCCACCCUGCCGCCAGUGCUGUGUGUCUUGGGCGGCUCUAUCACAGGACAUAACCGGUGCUGGGAAAUAUGGACUCUUCUCUGUGUCAAAGGCCCAGUGGUGACUGCUUUUAAUGAGUCAUUAAACAAGAACCAACCCAAAUGCCCAUCAAUGAUAGACUGGAUAAAGAAAAUGUGGCAUG
rnacentral:sRNA from 1 species